AACGAACGCUGGCGGCAGGCUUAACACAUGCAAGUCGAACGAGAUCUUCGGAUCUAGUGGCAGACGGGUGAGGAACACGUGGGAACAUCCCUUUCAGUUCGGAAUAACGUUGGGAAACUAACGCUAAUACCGGAUACGUCCUUCGGGAGAAAGAUUUAUCGCUGAAAGAGUGGCCCGCGUCUGAUUAGCUAGUUGGUGAGGUAACGGCUCACCAAGGCUACGAUCAGUAGCUGAUCUGAGAGGAUGAUCAGCCACAGUGGGAAUGAGACACGGCCCAAACUCCAACGGGAGGCAGCAGUGGGGAAUAUUGGACAAUGGGCGCAAGCCUGAUCCAGCCAUGCCGCGUGAGUGAUGACGGCCUUCGGGUUGUAAAGCUCUUUUGUCCGGGAAGAUAAUGACUGUACCGGAAGAAUAAGCCCCGGCAAACUUCGUGCCAGCAGCCGCCGUAA
rnacentral:rRNA from 1 species